UGGAUCCAGACUUUGAUUAUGGCUCAGGAUGAACGCUAGCGGCAGGCUUAACACAUGCAAGUCGCGGGGCAGCGGGGGAGAAGCUUGCUUCUCCCGCCGGCGACCGGCGCACGGGUGAGUAACACGUAUGCAACCUGCCCCUGUCAGGGGGACAACCCGCCGAAAGGCGGGCUAAUCCCGCAUAUAUUCUUCCGGGGCAUCCUGGAAGAAGGAAAGGCUUCGGCCGGACAGGGAUGGGCAUGCGGCGCAUUAGGAAGUAGGCGGGGUAACGGCCCACCUAUCCGACGAUGCGUAGGGGUUCUGAGAGGAAGGCCCCCCACACUGGUACUGAGACACGGACCAGACUCCUACGGGAGGCAGCAGUGAGGAAUAUUGGUCAAUGGGCGAGAGCCUGAACCAGCCAAGCCGCGUGAGGGAAGACGGUGCUAUGCAUUGUAAACCUCUUUUGUCGGGGAACAAAGAGCUCCAUGCGUGGGGCGUUGAGUGUACCCGAAGAAAAAGCAUCGGCUAACUCCGUGCCAGCAGCCGCGGUAAUACGGAGGAUGCGAGCGUUAUCCGGAUUUAUUGGGUUUAAAGGGUGCGUAGGCGGUGCAUUAAGUCAGCGGUAAAAGCCCGGGGCUCAACCCCGGCGAGCCGUUGAAACUGGUGUGCUUGAGAGGCCGAGAGGUAUGCGGAAUGCGCGGUGUAGCGGUGAUAUGCAUAGAUAUCGCGCAGAACUCCGAUUGCGAAGGCAGCAUACCGGCGGUCAUCUGACGCUGAGGCACGAAAGCGUGGGGAUCAAACAGGCUUAGAUACCCUGGUAGUCCACGCAGUAAACGAUGAAUACCGGCUGUUCGGGGGGAUUGACCCCUGAGCGGCGUAGCGAAAGCGUUAAGUAUUCCACCUGGGGAGUACGCCGGCAACGGUGCAACUCAAAGGAAUUGACGGA
rnacentral:rRNA from 1 species